rfam:Piriformospora indica DSM 11827, WGS project CAFZ01000000 data, contig: PIRI_contig_1864
GGGCUUGUAGCUUAAUUGGUCAAAGCGCACUACUCCGAAAACAAACUUUGCUGUGCGAUCUGAGGUUCGAAUCCCAGCGGCCCCA